GAUGAACGCUAGCGGCAGGCCUAACACAUGCAAGUCGAGGGGUAACUAGAGUGAUAGCAAUAUUACUUUGGCUAGACCGGCGCACGGGUGCGUAACACGUAUGCAACCUACCUUAUACUGGGGAAUAACUUCGAGAAAUCGGCGCUAAUACCCCAUAACACUGCGGAGAGGCAUCUCUUUGCAGUUAAAGCUCCGGCGGUAUAAGAUGGGCAUGCGUCCAAUUAGCUAGUUGGUGAGGUAACGGCUCACCAAGGCUACGAUUGGUAGGGGUUCUGAGAGGAUGAUCCCCCACACUGGUACUGAGACACGGACCAGACUCCUACGGGAGGCAGCAGUGAGGAAUAUUGCGCAAUGGACGAAAGUCUGACGCAGCCAUGCCGCGUGCAGGAUGACGGCCCUAUGGGUUGUAAACUGCUUUUGUACGGGAAUAAACCCUUCUACGUGUAGGAGGCUGAAGGUACCGUAAGAAUAAGCAUCGGCUAACUCCGUGCCAGCCGCCGCGGUAA
rnacentral:rRNA from 1 species